CGCGGAGUGGAGAAGUGGUAUCUCAUCGGGCUCAUAACCCGAGGAUCGUUGGUUCAAUUCCAACCUCCGCAACCA
rnacentral:tRNA from 1 species